GGGAAUGCUGCUCUAAAUGGGAGGUAUAUGUCUUCUAAAGCUAAAUACCGGCCAGAGACCGAUAGCGCAAAGUAGAGUGAUCGAAAGAUGAAAAGCACUUUGAAAAGAGAGUUAAAAAGUACGUGAAAUUGUUGAAAGGGAAGCGUUUAUGACCAGACUUGGGCUUGGUUAAUCAUCUGGGGUUCUCCCCAGUGCACUUUUCCAGUCCAGGCCAGCAUCAGUUUUCCCCGGGGGAUAAAGGCUUCGGGAAUGUGGCUCUCUUCGGGGAGUGUUAUAGCCCGUUGUGUAAUACCCUGGGGGGGACUGAGGUUCGCGCAUCUGCAAG
rnacentral:rRNA from 1 species